CUGAUCUGCUGGGGAGCAGCUACACAGCACAGAGAGUCCAGACAGCAGCUCCCAGCCUGCAGAGAUAGGCUACAGCUCAGGUAUGUGAAGGAUGGGGGGAAAGGCAGCAGGGAGACAUGGAGACACUGAGACACUAGGGGACACUGGGAGAUGUGGGGACACUGAGAAACAUAGGGACACUGAGACACAUGGGGACGCUGUGAGACAUAGGGAGACAUAUUGGGACAUGGAGACACUAGGGACACAGUGUCUCCAUGUCUCCCAGUGUCCCCAUGUCUCCCAGCGUCCCCAUGGCUCCCAGUGUCCCCAUGGCUCCCAG